AAAAAAAAAAAAAAAAAAAAAACCCAAAAAAAAAAUCAAAGAGAGGCGAAGAGGGAGAAAGAAAUUUCCUUUUUCGCAGAAAUUUGAAUAUAUCCUUCACCCUCCCCGAUUUGAGUCGUAAUAAUGGAGGGGGUAGGGGCGAGACUUGGGCGGUCCUCCACUCGAUACGGACCGGCCACGGUGUUCAAUGGACCGGUGAGGAAGUGGAAGAAGAGAUGGGUCCACGUUUCCCCAUCUAACAACAACAACAACAACAAUCACUCUCAAAAUCACCACAUCCCCACCAACACCAAUGCUGCCACUAACGGUAAUAACGGUUCUCAUCUCCUGCUUUACAAGUGGACCCCAUUAACUCAAAGCAACAAGGACAACGCCAAUAACUCUAAUGGCAAUAACGCCAAUGGCGACAAGAAUUCCCUUAAGGAAGACGUUACGCCGCUGCCGGAGGAGCCUCCUAAGCGUAAAUUCAAAUAUGUUCCGGUAUUCUUUGGUUCUUGAUUUGCCUCUCUCGUUUUAUGCCUUUUCCUUUUUUAUAAGUUUUGGGGAUUUGCUUAAAUUGGCUUUUUUCUGUGUGUUAUGGUCCUUUUUCUUUUUAUAUAUGUUUGGAAUGUGAUUUUUCAAGUUACUGAUGAGCUCGAAUUCUGUGUUGUUAAGUUGCACUUUUAAGAUCUGUGUAGGUGGGUUCCGUGUGAACAGUAUAUUAGGGCUUUAUUUUCGUAGUCAACUCGGUGAAUUUUAUUGAGCUUUAAGGAAUUUGGGAAAACUUGGGGCAUUUUGAGAUUUUUUGUGCGGUUUGGACCACGUAGCUUGUUGCAUUGAUUUUUACCUCUAGAUGAUUUUGAGGAGAGCGUGUGGUGCUAAUAUUUAGUUGCUACCAUGCGAGGCCAUUGUGGACAAGUGGACAUGAUAGCAAAGAAAUUCACCUUCUAUAGCUUUUUUAUGUGUAAAUUCAUAGAUAAGUCUCCUUCUGGCAUUUUAUGCAUAUCCCUUGUGUGUGUGUGUUUGUAUAUAUAUAUGUAUAUAUUCAAAUUGCAUUUAGUUUGUGUUGGCUGUAUCGUAAACCUCCUUAAUUUCACGGGCAUUGACUAUUUAUGAAAAUUAUCACAUAUGUCGGAUAAUUUGGCAUUGAUGUGGCCUUGGUGUCUAAUUGAGUUGAAUGGCAAAAAAGGAGCCAUAUAGCUGAUCCCAACUAGUUGGGAUUAAAGCUUAGUUAUUGUUGUUGUUGUUGUUAAAUAAAUUUGAGCUGUCUAGUUAUAGGUCUAGAACUUUUGAAGGAUGGCACUGGAAUGGAAAACCUUACAUAAAUUUUACAUCUAAAGUACCAUGGAAUUUGUAUUUUGGAAACUGGUGUUGUUAGAUCAGUUCAGUCAAUGCAUCUACCUUGUACCGUCACUUGUUAGUCAACCAGUUGCAUUUCAUGCAUUAAGUCCUAAUGGAAUUUUGUCCCCUUCUGCUGAUUGUUAUGUUGGAUUCAGAUAUCCUUUUUUAAUUGUUUUUCAUGCUUCAGAAGACAGCAUAACAUGGAAAUGAGCGCUUGUUCAACUGGGGAUGAGUUGAUAUGGUCAUGUUUAUGUUGAUCACUUGAUCUACCAUGGCUUUCAUUAGUUAUCUGCUUAUGCUUAGUUGACUGCUGAAAACAAAAGGGUUCAAAAUGGAAUGUUUCUGAUUACUGGAUAAAUUAAAGCAGAUUUUGAUCUUUUUGAAGGAAGAGAUGGCGGUUUUGGUUUAGGUUGCUCCGGUAGCACUCAUGGUUAAAUUGAAUUUUGAUUUUGUAACAUAUUAUCAAAUUAGAUUUUAGUCAUAUUAUCAUCAAAACUUGGAAAACAAAUUAAAAGUCUUGUUAGGGAUGCUAAAGGAAGCAAACCUAUAUUCAUGAAUUGGAAUGUUUGGUUUGAUCAACAAUCAUAAUCAGAAGAUUAAUAAUUUGAUCAAUACUUGCAUAGAUGCAAUGGUUCACAUGAACAAUAUUGAUAAGUUUUAUUCCAUCUUAGUGGACUUGUGUACUGCUGGAGUUGUGUCUGGUGUGGAAAUGUGUCAAGCAACAUUAUUUCCAGCAAAAAUAAGAUUUUUUUUCCCAUUAUUUUGGAUCUUUAGUAACCAUGCCUCAUUUGCGUGAAAUUGUUGGACAUGGGAACUUCAAGCUUCAAGUUGAAAUGGGGGGAUUGGGUUCUAAUCUUACAUUGCACAACAAUGGGGCAAAAUUAAGGUUUCCAUGUCACUUUUUUUUAACCAAAAUGCAAGUUAUAGGAUCAUUGUUUUUUUGUAUUUAUCCAACCUUGAAAGAUCUGUUCUAGUUCAUCUGGUAAAGAGUUAACAUUGUUUAUUGUCAAGACAUGGUGUCAAAGGGGUUAGCAUAUUCACAUGUUGGUUUGCAUAAAUAUUACCUUCUUAAUUUCUUGAGUAGGCAUGAGCAUACUGCAGAAGUAAGGAACAUAAAAAGAUUAUGCAGUGAAGAAUUUUGGGCUAGUUCAUCUAUAAUAUAUUCAUUCUGAGCUUGGAUCAGUUCAUUAUCUGUUUGUUCUAGAGUUUUUCUUUUCUUGGUUGUUCCCUUGUUGGUUUUUUUU
rnacentral:misc_RNA from 1 species